AUGACUGGAAACUACCUGAUGAAGGGGGAUAACUACAGGAAACGGAAGCUAAUACCGCAUAACGUCGCAGACCAAAGAGGGGGACCUUCGGGCCUCUUGCCAUCGGAUGUGCCCAGAUGGGAUUAGCUAGUAGGUGGGGUAACGGCUCACCUAGGCGACGAUCCCUAGCUGGUCUGAGAGGAUGACCAGCCACACUGGAACUGAGACACGGUCCAGACUCCUACGGGAGGCAGCAGUGGGGAAUAUUGCACAACGAGCGCAACCCUGAUGCGGCCCUGCCGCGUGUAUGAAGAAGGCCUUCGGGUUGUAAAGUACUUUCAGCGGGGAGGAAGGGAGUAAAGUUAAUACCUUUACUCUUUGACGUUACCCGCAGAAGAAGCACCGGCUAACUCCGUGCCAGCAGCCGCGGUAAUACGGAGGGUGCAAGCGUUAAUCGGAAUUACUGGGCGUAAAGCGCACGCAGGCGGUUUGUUAAGUCAGAUGUGAAAUCCCCGGGCUCAACCUGGGAACUGCAUCUGAUACUGGCAAGCUUGAGUCUCGUAGAGGGGGGUAGAAUUCCAGGUGUAGCGGUGAAAUGCGUAGAGAUCUGGAGAAAUACCGGUGUCGAAGGCGGCCCCCUGACGAAGACUGACGCUCAGGUGCGAAAGCGUGGGGAGCAAACAGGAUUAGAUACCCUGGUAGUCCACGGCCGUAAACGAUGUCGACUUGGAGUUGUGCCCUUUGAGGUGUGGCUUCCGGAGCUAACCGCGUUAGUCGACCGCCUGGGGGAGUACGGCCGCAAGGGUAAAACUCCAAUGAAUUGACGGGGGCCCGCACAGCCGGUGGUAGCAUGUGGCUUUAUUUCGAUGCACCCGAAGAAACCUUACCUGGUCCUUGACAUCCCACGUAGUUUCAGAGAUGAGAAUGGUGCCUCGGAACCGUGAAAACGGUGCUGCAUGGUCCUGUCACUCAUGCUUCGGUGUUGGAAUGUGGUUUAGUUCACGCCAACGAGGCAAACCAUAU
rnacentral:rRNA from 1 species